rnacentral:misc_RNA from 1 species
GAUGAAGAACGCAGCGAAAUGCGAUAACUAGUGUGAAUUGCAGAAUUCAGUGAACCAUCGAGUCUUUGAACGCACAUUGCGGCCGCCGGUAUUCCGGCGGCCACGCCUGUCCGAGCGCCACUAAAAAACCCCUCAGGCCACCGCGCCUGGCGUUGGGGGGCCGCCGUCUGCCCGUCCAGGGCUUGCCAGGCGGCCCCCAGAAAACCAGUGGCGGCGGCGUCGUAGGCGCUACGCGUGUAGUAAAACCACUCUCGCGGAGCCCCGGCGCUCGCUAGCGGGCGAGAGCCCCCCCCAUACCUCACAAGGUUGGCCUCGGAUCAGGCGGGACUACCCGCUGAACUUAAGCAUAUCAAUAAGCGGAGGA